CCUACGGGAGGCAGCAGUGGGGAAUAUUGCGCAAUGGGCGAAAGCCUGACGCAGCGACGCCGCGUGAGGGAUGAAGGUCUUCGGAUUGUAAACCUCUUUCAGCAGGGACGAAGCGAAAGUGACGGUACCUGAAGAAGAAGCACCGGCUAACUACGUGCCAGCAGCCGCGGUAAUACGUAGGGUGCAAGCGUUGUCCGGAUUUAUUGGGCGUAAAGAGCUCGUAGGCGGUUAGACACGUCGGAUGUGAAAACUGGGGGCUCAACCCCCAGCCUGCAUUCGAUACGGUCUGACUAGAGUGUGGUAGGGGUAACUGGAAUUCCUGGUGUAGCGGUGAAAUGCGCAGAUAUCAGGAGGAACACCGAUGGCGAAGGCAGGUUACUGGGCCACCACUGACGCUGAGGAGCGAAAGCGUGGGGAGCAAACAGGAUUAGAUACCCUGGUAGUCCACGCCGUAAACGGUGGGCGCUAGAUGUGGGGACCAUUCCAUGGUUUCUGCGUCGCAGCUAACGCAUUAAGCGCCCCGCCUGGGGAGUACGGUCGCAAGACAAAACUUAAAGGAAUUGACGG
rnacentral:rRNA from 1 species